UGGCGGAGUGAUUUGUCUGGUUAAUUCCGUUAACGAACGAGACCGCUGCCUGCUAAAUAGUCUGGCUAGUGAAUUUCACUGGUUGUGACUUCUUAGAGGGACGUGCAUUUUAUUAGAUGCAGGAAGAUAGCGGCAAUAACA
rnacentral:rRNA from 1 species